rnacentral:rRNA from 1 species
AACGAACGCUGGCGGCAUGCCUAACACAUGCAAGUCGAACGAGACCUUCGGGUCUAGUGGCGCACGGGUGCGUAACGCGUGGGAACCUGCCCUUAGGUUCGGAAUAACUCCCCGAAAGGGGUGCUAAUACCGGAUAAUGUCUUCGGACCAAAGAUUUAUCGCCUUUGGAUGGGCCCGCGUUGGAUUAGCUAGUUGGUAGGGUAAAAGCCUACCAAGGCGACGAUCCAUAGCUGGUCUGAGAGGAUGAUCAGCCACACUGGGACUGAGACACGGCCCAGACCCCCAGGGGGGGGAGCAGGGGGGAAUAUUGGACAAUGGGCGAAAGCCUGACCCAGCAAUGCCGGGGGAGUGAUGAAGGCCUUAGGGUUUUAAAGCUCUUUUCCCCGGGAUGAUAAUGACAGUACCGGGAGAAAAAGCCCCGGCUAACCCCGU